rnacentral:rRNA from 1 species
CAUGCAAGUCGAACGAGAGAGAAGGAGCUUGCUUCUUCGAUCGAGUGGCGAACGGGUGAGUAACGCGUGAGGAACCUGGCUCAAAGAGGGGGACAACAGUUGGAAACGACUGCUAAUACCGCAUAAGCCCACGGGUCGGCAUCGACCUGAGGGAAAAGGAGCAAUCCGCUUUGAGAUGGCCUCGCGCCCGAUUAGCUAGUUGGUGAGGUAACGGCCCACCAAGGCGACGAUCGGUAGCCGGACUGAGAGGUUGAACGGCCACAUUGGGACUGAGACACGGCCCAGACUCCUACGGGAGGCAGCAGUGGGGAAUAUUGCACAAUGGGGGAAACCCUGAUGCAGCGACGCCGCGUGGAGGAAGAAGGUCUUCGGAUUGUAAACUCCUGUUGUUGAGGAAGAUAAUGACGGUACUCAACAAGGAAGUGACGGCUAACUACGUGCCAGCAGCCGCGGUAAAACGUAGGUCACAAGCGUUGUCCGGAAUUACUGGGUGUAAAGGGAGCGCAGGCGGGAAGACAAGUUGGAAGUGAAAUCUAUGGGCUCAACCCAUAAACUGCUUUCAAAACUGUUUUUCUUGAGUAGUGCAGAGGUAGGCGGAAUUCCCGGUGUAGCGGUGGAAUGCGUAGAUAUCGGGAGGAACACCAGUGGCGAAGGCGGCCUACUGGGCACCAACUGACGCUGAGGCUCGAAAGUGUGGGUAGCAAACAGGAUUAGAUACCCUGGUAGUCCACACCGUAAACGAUGAUUACUAGGUGUUGGAGGAUUGACCCCUUCAGUGCCGCAGUUAACACAAUAAGUAAUCCACCUGGGGAGUACGACCGCAAGGUUGAAACUCAAAGGAAUUGACGGGGGCCC